GUAGGUGGCAAGCGUUGUCCCGGAAUUAUUGGGGCGUAAAGCGCGCGCAGGGCGGUCCUUUAAGUCUGAUGUGAAAGCCCACGGCUCAACCGUGGAGGGUCAUUGGAAACUGGGGGACUUGAGUACAGAAGAGGAAAGCGGAAUUCCAAGUGUAGCGGUGAAAAGCGUAGAGAUUUGGAGGAACACCAGUGGCGAAGGCGGCUUUCUGGUCUGUAACUGACGCUGAGGCGCGAAAGCGUGGGGAGCAAACAGGAUUAGAUACCCUGGUAGUCCACGCCGUAAGCGAUGAGUGCUAAGUGUUAGGGGGUUUCCGCCCCCUUAGUGCUGCAGCUAACGCAUUAAGCACUCCGCCUGGGGAGUACGGCCGCAAGGCUG
rnacentral:rRNA from 1 species